CAAAAAGCAAACUUAGGCAACUGUCCCCCAUACAUAGUAGACACAAACAAAAUGUAGUCACAUCAAACAUAGUAUAUGUAAACAUAAACAAUAGUAAGAAAAAUUUAAAACGUCCCACGGACGUGUACGCAAUCUACACAAACAUAUAUCACUGUGGCUGUGUUUUCCUAUAUUCCUGAUAGCUUCACUCCACCCAAGCAAACUUGUCGUUUGCAUUGUCUUGCAUGUCCAGUACCUCUCUAUUGGCCCUCUGCGAAAGGAACUUGCACGUGUAAAAGUACAGAUCUGUUUGCUUCUGGAGUCGACUCGUAGCCAGCAACUCGCUCAUUUAUGUCUUCGGGUUGGACAUAGCCGCUCCGAUGAAGUGGUCAAUUUUUGCAGCAAUCUUUUCACUGGCGAAGGUAGCACGGUCCACAGAGUACGACACAUCCCGAGAUGAAAACUUCUUCCUCUUCUCCUUCGAUCGCUUCUCGACGACCUUCCGUUUGUCCCCGCUAUGCGGGCCGGAUUCAUCCCUGGCUGCUGAGUGCGGUGUGGCUACACCGCCCUCGUCACUUGAGUCGCUACUCUCUACAUCGACUGGGAUCUCAUCAUGGUGGUCUUCGUGUGCACUGUCUUUCAACAUGGCGAAGCCAGUGCGGCAUGCUUGGCUAGGUGUGACUGCGUACUUAUCGCAGUCGAAAACAUCCCUGAAUAAAACCUUGUAUCGGUACAACUCUCGACAAUCCUUGUAAUUGUACUCUUUGUACUCUUUCCUCUCCUGAAGCAAUACAAAGC
rnacentral:lncRNA from 1 species